UCAUAACAUAAUACACUUAAAAUGAAAAAUAUCAUAACAUGAUGCUUAAAUUUGAUUUACACCUUUACGAUACAGAAAAAUCUUCCUCUGUCAUCCCAAGUUUAAAACAAUUAACGUGACAAGGUUUUAUUAUUACUUUGUGACAAACUUGUUUAGGAAUAAAUGUGUUUGAAGGGAGGUAGCAAUGAUACCAUCUCUUCUUAAUAAUAACGUGAUUGUCUCCUUUUAAACAGACAUCUUAAUGAACAUGUCAGAUUUUGAAAAUUUCAUUUCUGUAUAAGAAAGCUUGAACUAAUCUUUCAUUGUAAUCAGGAGCAUACAUACCUAUAAUUAUGUACUUAAAAAAAAAACAGAUCCAUUUUAUACUUCUCUGCAGCACAUUAAAUAUUGAAGAUAAUUCAGUUUCUUAUAAAUAUUAUUUAAAGCGCCUCGCCCAACGUUGGGCUGACAUUUUAAAACAAGUAUGGCAUUGACGACAAAAAGAUUAAAGUGAGUGAAAGUAGAUUAUUAUCUUCUUGUUCUAAUGGGAUGAUUUUAAUGAGAUAUUGCCGUUUGACAAUGCAACAUCUGUAAACUAUAUGUUUAAAUUUUAUAAUCCUAUAUCGGGGAGCAUCCAUUGGUUUUACCGAUAUUUUCCUUUUUUCUUUUAUGUCUCGAGGACUUGUUUUCAAAGAUGAACCUAAACAAGCUUUACAGACUGCUAAAUGUUGUGUUCUCAGGGAUAAAAAAGUAUGAAGUUCACAGCUUCCAAGAAGUAUAGAAGUUUCCCCAAAGGUUUACUUCAGCCAUAGUGUAACACUAUCAAAAACUGUCGCUAUUCGCAAAUUGCUUUCUACAGGUUCGACUUAAUCAUAGAAAUAUAUUUCAAACUAACUGAAGUUUCCCUAAAGACUACAUCGGCUAUAGCGUAACAAUACCGGUACUCCCACUCAUUAAAACUUGCGGCAGGAUCUACAAACUGAACUAAUAUAGAUGACCUUGACCUUCAUUUGACCACCACCAGAGGAAAACAUCUUCAUGAACACUUCAAGGUUAUUGCCUCCUAUGACUAUGGGUAGAGCAGGUCAGAAGUAGUUGUCAUUGUAAGAAAUUAUGCACUUUGUUCAGGAAAUAGGGAUGAGAGUAAUCCAUUAAAAUUAUUGUUAUUCUAGAACUUUAUCAAAAGAUGGCCGGAUCUGAAAUUCUAACAACCUCGUAGUUUUUAGCUUCAGCGAACCAAAGCAAUGUCAGAGAAGGCUUUCAUGGCAUAUUUUGAAGAAUGUGAUAACAUAUUGACCAAUAAUAUAAUCUCAAUAGUGCCCUUGAUAGAAUUUAUAACACUGAUUAGAAAGGACUUGAGUAAAUUCUCCUACAUACAUUCUUGGACCAUCUUGUGAUAAAGCCUUAAUUGCUGUCACUUCAGGAAAGGGUACAUGUAGUACGGUAACUUUAGUAAGGUGUGGAAAUUAUCUCGGACAACAAAUACCACCGUACUUCGUUUUUCUAGGUAAGAGAAUAAGACAACAACUGCUGGUUGUAUUUCUAGAACAUCUGGUACUGUGAGUGGCUCGGGUGGUCAAACUCAGAAAUCUGAAUGGAUUAUAUUACAAGCCAUUUCAUUAAAUAUGUCAAAGGCAGGGAUGACGGGAAAACAAUACAAAUGGACACUGGUCACACAUUCCUAUGCCACUCAUUGACAGGGCCAAGCAUCAUAAUAUUCAGUUGUUUGUUCUCCCGGCACAUACUACCCAUGUGUUACAGCCCCUAGACCUAGCGUGGUUUGGCCCUUUUGAGUGUGACAAAUAUAUGCGUAUGAGUUCUUGUCCUGUAGACAAAAUUUAUAUUCCGUUUGUUAAUUAGUUUGUAAAACCUACCAGAAAGCUCUAUCCCCGGAAAAUCUUAAAAGUUCUUCCGAAAAAGCUGACAUAUAUCCAUUUGAACCAAAAGUAGUUGACAAAUCAGUAUUUGUUCCAGCUCAGGUACUCAGUGGUCUGGACAAUCAGAAAACGUCUGAUGAAGAUCAAGAGUCAAAAUUAAGGUAGGAGAGUCAUGCAUUAGAAAACAGAACAGUGAAACAAACAACAGAAGGUGCUUGAGUUCUGUUUUGUCAGGAAAGGACAUUACAGAUGAAGCUACUGUACAGAAUCCACGAACAUCAGGAGUCUGUAAACGGUUUAAAGAGAAAGUCUUGUUCAUUGAGCAGCAGCAGCAAACGUUCAAAACUGUCUAGUUUUGACCCAGCCUGGAACAUCUGGCAUUGUGCAACCUAAUUAGAAAAGUACAUGUACUAUUUCAGAAGCAUCAAAUCAUUUCUCAGAAUUAUCCGAUGAUGAAAUUUCAGAUAAGGAGAAAUAUUGUCAGUGUCAUCGUUUUCAGCCAGUUCAGCUGUCUCAGUCAAGUUCAGUUUACUUCGUGGGGUCAAUAUAUGUUUGAAAAUUGUAGUCAUUGGACACAUUUAAAGAACUGCGGCAGUGUGGUCAAACUGAAGGGAAAUGACACUUUCUUCACUACAAUGGACAUGUAAGUGAAUGACACAAUACACUUAUACAUUAUUUUAUGUCUUCUUUAUUUAUUGAUAAAUUACAUUAUGUGCGCGAUAAACGAUUACCCUAGGAUAUAUUUGACUUUUAAUAACUGCCAAGCGAGAAAUACAACGGCCAUUAUUUCAAUUUCAAGAAUGAUUUUAAGUGUCAACAGAAUGUACUGCAUUAACAAAUUGAAUACCUGUCUCCCUAGAACUUUCUACCAGUUAGUAUGUAAUCUGUACUAUCAAUUGUUUCGUGGUAUAAAUGACAUAAUCCAUUGUUUACCUUUUGUUAGAGCGGUACAGUUGAAAUUAUAGAAAUAAAAGUAGUGUAGUGUACAUAA